rnacentral:rRNA from 1 species
GAUGAACGCUGGCGGCGUGCCUAAUACAUGCAAGUAGAACGCUGAAGCUUGGUGCUUGCACCGAGCGGAUGAGUUGCGAACGGGUGAGUAACGCGUAGGUAACCUGCCUCUUAGCGGGGGAUAACUAUUGGAAACGAUAGCUAAUACCGCAUAAAAGUCGACAUCGCAUGAUGUUGACUUGAAAGGUGCAAUUGCAUCACUAAGAGAUGGACCUGCGUUGUAUUAGCUAGUUGGUGAGGUAACGGCUCACCAAGGCGACGAUACAUAGCCGACCUGAGAGGGUGAUCGGCCACACUGGGACUGAGACACGGCCCAGACUCCUACGGGAGGCAGCAGUAGGGAAUCUUCGGCAAUGGGGGCAACCCUGACCGAGCAACGCCGCGUGAGUGAAGAAGGUUUUCGGAUCGUAAAGCUCUGUUGUAAGAGAAGAACGAGUGUGAGAGUGGAAAGUUCAUACUGUGACGGUAACUUACCAGAAAGGGACGGCUAACUACGUG